rnacentral:lncRNA from 1 species
GGUUUAACUUGAAUCACUUUCUCUGUCUGUUGAUGGUGAGCUGGUGCCAUCUCAUUUGGCUUUCUAAAUAAUUGCACAGGCACUUCCUAGCUGAGUAUCCUUGGGAGAAUUAAGUCUCUGUGAGCAUGAUAAAUGGCGAUGAUCUCAGAAAGUCAUAGGGUUAAGAAAAAAGGGUUAGGUAAGAAAGUCUCAGGAUUAAAGGAUAAUAAGUGGAGAAAGUACUGAGUCCAUGAUCCCAACACACGAAAUUACUCAAUAAAAACUAGCACUCAAGGGGCCUGGAAGAAUGCUCCUGGAUUAGCCUCAAUCCUUGGUAUUAGGAGGCUGUGUGAGCCACAAAGAAUGUGACAUACUGCAAAGGACAUCUAAGUUUUUGGUGUUUUCAAACAGUAACAUUUACUCAGCACACUCAUU